rfam:Candida albicans SC5314 chromosome R sequence.
GACUGGGUGGCCAAGUUGGCUAAGGCGUGAGACUGUUAUUUCAAGAAUUUUCUACGACAUCUCAAGAUCGAGAGUUCGAGCCUCUCCCUGGUCG